GUGGGGAAUAUUCCGCAAUGGACGAAAGUCUGACGGAGCAACGCCGCGUGAGUGAUGAAGGUUUUCGGACUGUAAAGCUCUGUUGUUUAGGACGAAAGUGCCUGUUGCGAAUAGUUACAGGUAUUGACGGUACUGAACGAGGAAGCCACGGCUAACUACGUGCCAGCAGCCGCGGUAAUACGUAGGUGGCAAGCGUUGUCCGGAAUUAUUGGGCGUAAAGAGCAUGUAGGCGGGAAUCUAAGUCUGUUGUGAAAAUGCGGGGCUCAACCCCGUAUUGCGAUGGAAACUGGGUUUCUUGAGUGCAGGAGAGGAAAGGGGAAUUCCCAGUGUAGCGGUGAAAUGCGUAGAUAUUGGGAGGAACACCAGUGGCGAAGGCGCCUUUCUGGACUGUGUCUGACGCUGAGAUGCGAAAGCCAGGGUAGCGAACGGGAUUAGAAACCCUGUAGUCC
rnacentral:rRNA from 1 species